GAUGAACGCUGGCGGCGUGCCUAAUACAUGCAAGUCGAGCGAACAGACGAGGAGCUUGCUCCUCUGACGUUAGCGGCGGACGGGUGAGUAACACGUGGAUAACCUACCUAUAAGACUGGGAUAACUUCGGGAAACCGGAGCUAAUACCGGAUAAUAUAUUGAACCGCAUGGUUCAAUAGUGAAAGACGGUUUUGCUGUCACUUAUAGAUGGAUCCGCGCCGCAUUAGCUAGUUGGUAAGGUAACGGCUUACCAAGGCAACGAUGCGUAGCCGACCUGAGAGGGUGAUCGCCCACACUGGAACUGAGACACGGUCCAGACUCCUACGGGAGGCAGCAGUAGGGAAUCUUCCGCAAUGGGCGAAAGCCUGACGGAGCGACGCCGCGUGAGUGAUGAAGGUCUUCGGAUCGUAAAACUCUGUUAUUAGGGAAGAACAAAUGUGUAAGUAACUAUGCACGUCUUGACGGUACCUAAUCAGAAAGCCACGGCUAACUACGUG
rnacentral:rRNA from 1 species